rnacentral:rRNA from 1 species
AAAGCUCAAAUUUAAAAUCUGGCCGCUUCGCUGUCCGAGUUGUAAUUUAGAGAAGUGUUACCCGUGUUGGACCGUGUAUAAGUCUCCUGGAAUGGAGCGUCAUAGAGGGUGAGAAUCCCGUCUUUGACACGGACUACCAAUGCAUUGUGGUGCGCUCUCGAAGAGUCGAGUUGUUUGGGAAUGCAGCUCUAAAUGGGUGGUAAAUUCCAUCUAAAGCUAAAUAUUGGCGAGAGACCGAUAGCGAACAAGUACCGUGAGGGAAAGAUGAAAAGAACUUUGGAAAGAGAGUUAAACAGUACGUGAAAUUGCUGAAAGGGAAACGCUUGAAGUCAGUCGCGUUGGCCGGGGAUCAGCCUUGCUUUUGUGAGGUGUACUUCCUGGUUGACGGGUCAGCAUCAGUUUCGACCACUGGAAAAAGACUUGGGGAAUGUGGCAACUUCGGUUGUGUUAUAGCCCUUUGUCGUAUACAGUGAUUGGGACUGAGGAACUCAGCACGCCGCAAGGCCGGGUUUCGACCACGUUCGUGCUUAGGAUGCUGGCAAAAUGGCUUUAAUCGACCCGUCUUGAAACACGGACCAAGGAGUCUAACAUGCUUGCGAGUGUUUGGGUGGAAAACCCGAGCGCGUAAUGAAAGUGAAAGUUGGGAUCUCUGUCGUGGAGAGCACCGACGCCCGGACCARAAGUUUACUGACGGAUCUGCGGUAGAGCACGUAUGUUGGGACCCGAAAGAUGGUGAACUAUGCCUGAAUAGGGUGAAGCCAGAGGAAACUCUG